ACGAGGUGACGAAGAAAUUCAUUGGUCUGUCAAUCCACCGACUUUGUGUGAUGUUAAUCACGAAUCCUGACAGGUUCUAUAUAUAUGU